rnacentral:rRNA from 1 species
UUGAACGCUGGCGGUAUGCUUAACACAUGCAAGUCGAACGGAAACGAUACUAGCUUGCUAGUAGGCGUCGAGUGGCGGACGGGUGAGUAACGCGUAGGAAUCUGCCUGAUAGUGGGGGAUAGCCCGAAGAAAUUCGGAUUAAUACCGCAUAAUCUAUUCGUAGUAAAGUGGGGGACUUUCGAGCCUCACGCUAUCAGAUGAGCCUGCGUAAGAUUAGCUUGUUGGUAGGGUAAAAGCCUACCAAGGCGACGAUCUUUAGCUGGUCUGAGAGGAUGAUCAGCCACAUCGGGACUGAGACACGGCCCGAACUCCUACGGGAGGCAGCAGUGGGGAAUAUUGGACAAUGGGGGCAACCCUGAUCCAGCAAUACCGCGUGUGUGAAGAAGGCCUGAGGGUUGUAAAGCACUUUCAAUUGUGAAGAAAAGUUAGCGGUUAAUAACCGUUAGCCUUGACGUUAACUUUAGAAGAAGCACCGGCUAACUCCGUGCCAGCAGCCGCGGUAAUACGGAGGGUGCAAGCGUUAAUCGGAAUUACUGGGCGUAAAGCGUGCGUAGGCGGUUUAUUAAGUCAGAUGUGAAAGCCCCGGGGCUUAACCUGGGAACUGCAUUUGAAACUGGUCAACUAGAGUAUGGUAGAGGAAAGUGGAAUUUCUGGUGUAGCGGUGAAAUGCGUAGAUAUCAGAAGGAACAUCAAUGGCGAAGGCAGCUUUCUGGACCAAUACUGACGCUGAGGUACGAAAGCGUGGGUAGCAAACAGGAUUAGAUACCCUGGUAGUCCACGCCGUAAACGAUGAUAACUAGCCGUUGGGGGGAUUUACCCUUUAGUGGCGAAGCUAACGCGUUAAGUUAUCCGCCUGGGGAGUACGGCCGCAAGGUUAAAACUCAAAGGAAUUGACGGGGACCCGCACAAGCGGUGGAGCAUGUGGUUUAAUUCGAUGCAACGCGAAGAACCUUACCUGGUCUUGACAUCCUGCGAACUUUCUAGAAAUAGAUUGGUGCCUUCGGGAACGCAGUGACAGGUGCUGCAUGGCUGUCGUCAGCUCGUGUCGUGAGAUGUUGGGUUAAGUCCCGUAACGAGCGCAACCCCUAUCCUUAUUUGCCAGCACAUCAUGGUGGGAACUAUAAGGAGACUGCCGGUGAUAAACCGGAGGAAGGCGGGGACGACGUCAAGUCAUCAUGGCCCUUACGACCAGGGCUACACACGUGCUACAAUGGGAAGGACAAAGAGCCGCGAAGCCGCGAGGUGUAGCUAAUCUCAUAAACCUUUUCGUAGUCCGGAUUGGAGUCUGCAACUCGACUCCAUGAAGUCGGAAUCGCUAGUAAUCGUAGAUCAGAAUGCUACGGUGAAUACGUUCCCGGGUCUUGUACUCACCGCCC